rnacentral:rRNA from 1 species
GACGUAGGGCGCGAGCGUUGUCCGGAGUUACUGGGCGUAAAGGGCUCGUAGGCGGCCAACUAAGUCAGACGUGAAAUCCCUCGGCUUAACCGGGGAACUGCGUCUGAUACUGGAUGGCUUGAGUUCGGGAGAGGGAUGCGGAAUUCCAGGUGUAGCGGUGAAAUGCGUAGAUAUCUGGAGGAACACCGGUGGCGAAGGCGGCAUCCUGGACCGACACUGACGCUGAUGAGCGAAAGCCAGGGGAGCAAACGGG